rfam:Capsella rubella cultivar Monte Gargano unplaced genomic scaffold scaffold_1, whole genome shotgun sequence.
UAUAACGCGAGAUAUUAGUGCGGCUCAAUCAAAUAGUCUGUCCUCUUAGCGUAUGGAGGUCGGUGUUGUUCGAUUGAGCCGUGCCAAUAUCACGCGGUUAGCC